AAGUCGUAACAAGGUUUCCGUAGGUGAACCUGCGGAAGGAUCAUUAUUGAAUGAACUUGGUGUGGUUGUCGCUGACCCCUUUGGGGGUAUGUGCACGCCCACCAUACUCAUCUCCACCUGUGCACCUUUUGUAGACUUGGAAUUUAUUUCAAGCCUAUGUUUUUAUAUACCCUAUUGUAUGUUACAGAAUGAAUUCGCUGGGCACUUGUGCCCAUAAACGUUAUACAA
rnacentral:misc_RNA from 1 species